rnacentral:pre_miRNA from 1 species
CUUACAUAGUUCUUUGGCAUUCUGUCCACCUCCUUUACCUUCAUAAUCUUCUAUUUUUUUAGAAAAAUAAUUUUUGUUAUUAUUUUUUUUAAAAAAUGGAGGUGGGCAUACUGUCAACAGAUUUGUGUUAG